rnacentral:rRNA from 1 species
GAUGAACGCUGGCGGCGUGCCUAACACAUGCAAGUCGAACGGUGAAGCGCCUACCUUUUUGGUGUGCGUGUAGCGGUGGCCGACGGGGUAAUAACUCGAUAGUAACCUGCUCCCUCCUGCUGGAUAACGGCAUGAAAGUGCGGCUAAUACCGGAUAUUCUGGACCGGUUGCAUCAUGGGUCUGGGAAAGAUUUUGUGUCGGUGGGGGAUGGGCUCGCGGCGUAUUAGCUUGUUGGUGGGGUGACGGCCUACCAAGGCGACGAUGCGUAGCCGGCCUGAGAGGAUGAUCGGCCACCAUGGAACUGAUACACGGUCGAGACUCCUACUGGAGGCAGCAGUAGGGAAUAUUAGUCAAUGGGCGGAAGCCUGCUGCAGCAACGACGCGUGGGUGAUGAAGGCCUUCGGCUCGUAAAGAACUUUUUUUGGGAAAGAAAAAGGGCUGCCUCAUUUGUGGAUGGGUUGACGGUACCUAAAUAAGAAGCGCCGGCUAACUACGUG